rnacentral:lncRNA from 1 species
UAUGGGGUUGCACAGAGUCGGACACGACUGAAGUGACUUAGCAGCAGCUGGGCUAUAAUAUCCAUGGGCUAAGUCUUGCAGAACCGAAGUAGAAUAAGUUCUUCCAAGGCAAAUCCACAUUGUAGUUUUUUCUAAGUGCUAAAUACCUAAACUUUCUGAAGGUUCCCGAAAGAUUAAAGCACAAUGCAAAAUAAUCUCUUUUUUUAACAGGUAGCAUCUAGUACUCAGGAGCACCACCCAUUAGAGCCUGGAAAACACCUUUUUUCAAUUCUGUGUACUGAUUACAAAAGCAUUCUAAGGCUAAGGCAGUGAAAACAAGUGCAGGCAAGCUGUGGUAGCAGUUAACCCCGUAACACUUCCAUCUCUCCUCUCGAAGGAAUGAGAAAUACUGACACCCCACCAACCCACCCACAAAAAGGAUCCACUUAUUUCUGGAGAAAUGAAUUGAGGUCUGGGGGAUGAAAGAAGAGAGGGUGCGCUUUUAAACAUGGUUGCUGCACUUCUGGUCGUUUCCCUGGAGCUGGAGGAAAGUCUGCAGCGGGUCCUAUUUUCGCGAAUGAAGGGUCCUGGAGUCCAGGCUGAGUCACCGCAGCUCCAACGCCAUCCACUGGAAACGGCUCUCCCGCCUCGCGACCAAGAUUGCUCGUCGGGCAGCAGCGCCACCUGGCGGGGAGAGCACACCGCCGGCGAGCGGCCCGGCAGGCGGGGGCGGACGGCGCGAGGCGUUUGGGGCGGCGACCCGCGCUCAGGGCCUUCCAGCGUGCGGGCGGCUGUCCGCGGAAGCAGUGUGAGCAGCCUCCCCUUGCAGCCUCCGCAGUCUCAGUGGGGCACACACCUUACACGCACCGACGGUGCUUCCGUCUCCCGUGCGCAGGGGGCGCUUCUCCCUGUCCGCCGCCGUUGCUCAGGGGGCUUCAGGGCCGCAGACCCGCAGCCGGCGGUGAAGGCCCGGACCCAGGUUCAGAGGAGGCUCCCCUGCUCGUCCACGGCCCGCAGCGCCCCGCCGGCUGAGCCCAAGGCCACGGCCUUUGAAGCCACAUAA